AUGGUCUGUGGCCAUGCCCGAUGUCUGAUCUUGGAAGCUAAGCAGGGUCAGGCCUGGUUAGUACUUGGAUGGGAGAUCACUUAGGAAGACCAGGUAUAAAUAAUA
rnacentral:rRNA from 1 species